AUGGAGAAUCUGCAACUGAUGUGGUCAGACUCUGCCAAAACUCUUGACCAUGACUACACUGAGACAGCUCACAAGCUCGAAGUUAAGCGUGUGCUCAAAUGUUCCAGUGGAUCACUUCCAAAGUCCUCUUGUCAGAAUCAAGUAAAGGUCACCACAAGGGGUACAUGACUCCUGUGUAUUUGUAUUUCAUGAAAAACUCAAUUUC
rnacentral:lncRNA from 1 species